AUGUGCCUACGGGGCGCAGCAGUAGGGAAUAUUGCUCAAUGGGGGAAACCCUGAAGCAGCAACGCCGCGUGGAGGAUGAAGGUUUUCGGAUUGUAAACUCCUUUUGUUAGAGAAGAUAAUGACGGUAUCUAACGAAUAAGCACCGGCUAACUCCGUGCCAGCAGCCGCGGUAAUACGGAGGGUGCAAGCGUUACUCGGAAUCACUGGGCGUAAAGAGCGCGUAGGCGGGAUAGCAAGUCAGAUGUGAACUCCUAUGGCUUAACCAUAGAACUGCAUUUGAAACUGUUAUUUUAGUGUAUGGGCAG
rnacentral:rRNA from 1 species